AUUGAACGCUGGCGGCAGGCUUAACACAUGCAAGUCGAGCGGAGCGAGGGUGCUUGCACCUUAGCUUAGCGGCGGACGGGUGAGUAAUGCUUAGGAAUCUGCCUAUUAGUGGGGGACAACAUUCCGAAAGGAAUGCUAAUACCGCAUACGCCCUACGGGGGAAAGCAGGGGAUCUUCGGACCUUGCGCUACUAGAUGAGCCUAAGUCGGAUUAGCUAGUUGGUGGGGUAAAGGCCUACCAAGGCGAGGAUCUGUAGCGGGUCUGAGAGGAUGAUCCGCCACACUGGGACUGAGACACGGCCCAGACUCCUACGGGAGGCAGCAGUGGGGAAUAUUGGACAAUGGGCGGAAGCCUGAUCCAGCCAUGCCGCGUGUGUGAAGAAGGCCUUUUGGUUGUAAAGCACUUUAAGCGAGGAGGAGGCUACUUAGAUUAAUACUCUGGGAUAGUGGACGUUACUCGCAGAAUAAGCACCGGCUAACUCUGUGCCAGCAGCCGCAGUAA
rnacentral:rRNA from 1 species